ACAUAGCCACUAGAAAACACAAACAUUAGAGGUAAUACCUGCCCGGUGAGGACCAACCCUUUAACGGCCGCAGAAAUAAGCUGCGCAAAGGUAGCAUAAUCACUUGUCCCCCAAAUAGGGACCCGUAUGAAAGGUCACAUGAGAAAGAACCUGUCUCCCAAGGCCAGUCAAUGAAACUGAUCUGCCAGUACAAAAGCUGGCAUAAAAAAAUAGGACAAAAAGACCCUGUGAAACUUAAAAUUUACACAACACCUAAUUGAAUAAAAUUUUUAGUUGGGGCAACUUAAGAAAAACAAAACUUNUUCACCACAACCAAGGCCAACAAGCCUAAGACCACAACCUCACAUCAUGACCCAGUACUACCAACUGAUCAAAGAACCAAGCUACUCCAGGGAUAACAGCGCCACACUCUUGAAAAGUCCAUAUUAACAAGAGUACCUACGACCUCGAUGUUGGAUCAGGGCAACCCGAUGGUGAAAAAGCUAUCAAAGGUUCGUUUGUUCAACGAUUAAAGCCCUACGUGAUCU
rnacentral:rRNA from 1 species